UCAUUUUUUUAGUCCUUAUGGAUUUAUAUAUUAAAAAAAUCCAUUGAUGUCAUUUUAACAGAGCAUUGUGAGGGACAGCUGAUGACAGGUAUGAUCAGACUUCCACGUUCACCUGCAGUCUGGAGGGGACACGAGGGAAACGCAGAGCCAUUAGGAAGAAACAUGGUGGCUGCCACACCUCCUGGGCCAUAUUUAGUGUGGAGAGGAUGUGAAGUUUUCCUUGGUGAUAAUAAUGCCAGCAGCUGUCAUCCUUCAAGCAUCUACUCGGUGUCAGAGUGUGGCAUGCAUGGUCUCAUUAUCUUCAUUGAGCAUAGGUGCGGGUAGGUGUCACUAUCCAGCGUUACCUGUUCUGAGUGGGGGUUUUGGAAA
rnacentral:lncRNA from 1 species